GAUGAACGCUGGCGGCGUGCCUAAUACAUGCAAGUCGAGCGAACAGACGAGGAGCUUGCUCCUCUGACGUUAGCGGCGGACGGGUGAGUAACACGUGGAUAACCUACCUAUAAGACUGGGAUAACUUCGGGAAACCGGAGCUAAUACCGGAUAAUAUAUUGAACCGCAUGGUUCAAUAGUGAAAGACGGUUUUGCUGUCACUUAUAGAUGGAUCCGCGCCGCAUUAGCUAGUUGGUAAGGUAACGGCUUACCAAGGCAACGAUGCGUAGCCGACCUGAGAGGGUGAUCGGCCACAAUGGAAAUGAGACACGGUCAAGACGCAUACGGGAGGCAGCAGUAGGGAAUCUGACGCAAAGGGCGAAAGACUGAAGGAGCAACGCCGCGUGAGUGAUGAAGGUCUUCGGAUCGUAAAACUCUGUUAUUAGGGAAGAACAAAUGUGUAAGUAACUAUGCACGUCUUGACGGUACCUAAUCAGAAAGACACGGCUAACUACGUG
rnacentral:rRNA from 1 species